GCCUGGUCCUCCCACCCAUGUUUAUUGUACCUUGUUGCUUCGGCGGGCCCGCCUCACGGCCGCCGGGGGGCUUCUGCCCUCUGGCCCGCGCCCGCCGAAGACACCAUUGAACACUGUCUGAAGAUUGCAGUCUGAGCAAUUAGCUAAAUAAGUUAAAACUUUCAACAACGGAUCUCUUGGUUCCGGCAUCGAUGAAGAACGCAGCGAAAUGCGAUACGUAAUGUGAAUUGCAGAAUUCAGUGAAUCAUCGAGUCUUUGAACGCACAUUGCGCCCCUUGGUAUUCCGGGGGGCAUGCCUGUCCGAGCGUCAUUGCUGCCCUCAAGCACGGCUUGUGUGUUGGGCCCCGUCCUCCUUCCCGGGGGACGGGCCCGAAAGGCAGCGGCGGCACCGCGUCCGGUCCUCGAGCGUAUGGGGCUUUGUCACCCGCUCUUGUAGGCCCGGCCGGCGCUUGCCGACAACCAUCAAUCUUUUUUCAGG
rnacentral:sRNA from 1 species